GGCUCUUUGUAAUAUAAAAAUAAAGAGUCCGGCCUGCUCAAUGAUGAUUUAUCAUUAAAUAGCUGCGGAAUCCUAACCGUGUGAGAGUAGCAUAAUCAUUUGCCUCUUAAUUGGUGGCUGGAAUGAAUGGUACGAUGAAAAUAGAGCUGUCUCUAAUAUGUUUUAUUGAAAUUACCUUUUAGGUGAAAAGGCCUAAAUAUAUCUAUAAGACAAGAAGACCCUAUCGAGCUUUAAGUAGGCUAUAUAUAAUAUUUAGUUAGCUUUUGGUUGGGGCAACCAGGGGGCAGAUUAAAUCCCUCUUUUAUUAUGUCACUUACUAGUGAAGAUCCAGUUAUAUUGAUCAUGGGA
rnacentral:rRNA from 1 species